CUGGGAAUAAUGUUAUCGCUCUGGGAUGCAAAAGCCAUCAUUCGAGGUUUGCGCUAGAUUAUCGUUUACAACCUGCUAAUCUAAUGUGUGAUUUUGAUGGUGGGCUGCAGGUUUUGGCUGCCUUGUGAAGCUGGAAUCUGGGACCUGCCUUGUUCACUCAAGCCCCAGCUGUCCCCAAGGUCCCAUCCCAGGGAAGAAGGCACUAUUCAGGCAAACCAGGGCAGAUCUGGGGUCUAUCCUCUCCCUUCUGAGACAACCCCAGUGGAGGUCUGCGUGAUGCGAGAUGUCUGAGAGCAGAUGAACUGCUUGCGUGACUGGUGUCCAAGGAGCUGCUUACCUACACCUGUCUGAAGGGUUAAUGCUUAUCCACUGAGCUCAGACUUCUGGUCCAGGUGCAGGAGACCACUACAUGAGUUGAGGUGCAGGUUUGCAAGAGGGAAGAGGUAGGAAGGCAAGCAACAAAACUUGAGAGCAAGCUCCUGUAGAAACGUUAGCAAAGGCAGAUAUCCUGGCCCAUGCAAGCUGCGGGCCAUGCUUUAUCCAACACACAAACCUGACUGUGCCUCUGUUGAUUUUGCAGGAUGAGCUUUUUAUUUGUAGUUAUCCCUUGAUUUUUUUUUUCCAAAUAAAGACAAACUGGCAGAUUGAGUUUAUUAGAAG
rnacentral:lncRNA from 1 species